rnacentral:snoRNA from 2 species
UACCUCUUAGGGUCUCACCUGGAGAGUUUCCAGUACUCUAUCAGUCUUGGCUAUGGUAUGGAGAGUCAAACAGAGGCCUGCCCAUUCCAUUCCUAGCUUGGGCAGUGGCUAGCGAGUGGAAGGCAAUCUGCUACGAGU